rnacentral:rRNA from 1 species
ACGGUAACAGGGAGCUUGCUCCGCUGACGAGUGGCGAACGGGUGAGUAAUACAUCGGAACGUGCCCAGUAAUGGGGGAUAGCUCGGCGAAAGCCGGAUUAAUACCGCAUACGCCCUGAGGGGGAAAGUGGGGGACCGCAAGGCCUCACGUUAUUGGAGCGGCCGAUGGCUGAUUAGCUAGUUGGUAGGGUAAAGGCCUACCAAGGCGACGAUCAGUAGCUGGUCUGAGAGGACGAUCAGCCACACUGGGACUGAGACACGGCCCACACUCCUACGGGAGGCAGCAGUGGGGAAUUUUGGACAAUGGGGGAAACCCUGAUCCAGCAAUGCCGCGUGUGCGAAGAAGGCCUUCGGGUUGUAAAGCACUUUUGUCAGGGAAGAAAUCCUUUGGGCUAAUACCCUAGGGGGAUGACGGUACCUGAANAAUAAGCACCGGCUAACUACCUGCCACCAGCCGCGGUAAUACGUAGGGUGCAAGCGUUAAUCGGAAUUACUGGGCGUAAAGCGUGCGCAGGCGGUUGUGUAAGACAGGUGUGAAAUCCCCGGGCUUAACCUGGGAAUUGCAUUUGUGACUGCACGACUANAGUGUGUCAGAGGGGGGUGGAAUUCCACUUGUAGCAGUGAAAUGCGUAGAUAUGUGGAGGAACACCAAUGGCGAAGGCAGCCCCCUGGGAUAACACUGACNCUCAUGCACGAAAGCGUGGGGAGCAAACAGGAUUAGAUACCCUGGUAGUCCACGCCCUAAACGAUGUCAACUANUUGUUGGGGAUUUACUUCNUUGGUAACGUAGCUAACGCNUGAAGUUGACCGCCUGGGGAGUACGGCCGCAAGGUUAAAACUCAAA